rnacentral:tRNA from 1 species
GCCCGCCUAGCUCAAUCGGAUAGAGCGUCAGACUCUUAUUUGGGCGGAUCUGAAGGCUGCGAGUUCGACCCUCGCGGUGGGCU